GUACACGCUGUGACUAGCAUAUCAAUAAGCGGAGGAAAAGAAACUAACUAGGAUUCCCUAGUAACGGCGAGUGAAGCGGGAAGAGCUCAAAUUUGAAAUCUUAAAGGGUUUCCCUUUACGAAUUGUAGUUUAAAGAAGUGUUUUCUGUUGAGGUUUUGGUAAAAGUUCUUUGGAAUAGGACAUCAUAGAGGGUGAGAAUCCCGUAUUUGACCUUUACUUUCAACUUUGUGAUACACUUUCAAAGAGUCGGAUUGUUUGGGAAUGCAGUCCAAAAUGGGUGGUAAAUUUCAUCUAAAGCUAAAUAUUGGCGAGAGACCGAUAGCGAACAAGUACCGUGAGGGAAAGAUGAAAAGAACUUUGAAAAGAGAGUUAAACAGUACGUGAAAUUGUCAAAAGGGAAGCGUUUGACACCAGUGUUGUUUUUCUGAAAAUCAAUCAAAGAACUGUUUAUGCUAAGUUGUUUAGACUUUAUCAGCUAACUGUUUAGUUUUGGGCUUUUCUUUAAUGCACUUUUCAGUUAACAAGUCAACAUCAAUUUCUUUUGCUGUAAAAAAGCUUGAGGAAGGUGGCUUGAGAUUCGUCUUAAGUGUUUAUAGCCUCUUGCCUAUGCAGUCGGAGAGAUUGAGGUCUGCAGCGUAGAUCCUUCGGGGCUAAAUGCAUUUGUGCUAAGUUAUAGCAUUUUAUAGACAACUUGUUGACUACUGAUUUGUCUUGUAGCUUACUCGCUUAUGUUAUUUUACCUACGCUUAGGAUGUUGAAGAUGUAGCACAUCAU
rnacentral:rRNA from 1 species